rnacentral:tRNA from 1 species
ACCUACUUAACUCAAUGGUUAGAGUAUCGCUUUCAUACGGCGAGAGUCAUUGGUUCAAGUCCAAUAGUAGGUA